GAAUGGAAUGCUUACUAAA
rnacentral:piRNA from 1 species